ensembl:lncRNA
CCGAGGAACAGUGGGUUAACUGCCUUGUUCAGGGGCAGAACGACAGAUGUGUACCUUGUGAUUGGAUGGAAUGAGGGUGUGGAUAGAAGGUGGCUAGAGAGAGAGAAAUGGAGAGGGAUGGAUGGAGAGAGAGAGAUGGAGGUGGGUAGAGAGACUUGAGAUGGAAGUGAAGAUGGAGAGAGGGAUGGAGGUGAAGAUGGAGAGAGGGAUGGAGGUGCAUGGAGAGAGGGAUGGAGGUGGAUGGAGAGAGAGAUGGAGGUGCAUGGAGAGAGGGAUGGAGGUGCAUGGAG